rnacentral:lncRNA from 1 species
GGAGGUUAUGGUUAAAAGCAUACGAUGGGAGAUCAUAUUGUACUUGCGAGUGAGACCCGGCUGGAGGAAUGUUUUAAUUCUUCGGAAAUACCAAGUGGUCUCUGUCAAAUUGUGCCUCAAUUCCAAUGUCGUAUUUUUGGAUCAUGGGUCUCCUCUUUCUUUUCUAAAUGUGCCCGAGUAUUCCUCCUGGUCCUUUGGGAUGCUGACAGAGGAGCCGAUAUACAGCAUCUCUGCCAUGAUAUAAGGGCUGCUGCAGUGCACAACUGUCUCCCAAGAAGGUACCGCAGGGGUGUAAAACUUCUCCCUGCAUUGUCAACGCUGGUCUCCGUGGAUGUCUGCUGGCUUUUUCAAAAAUUCUUGUAGAACAGUGCUUCUCAUAUUGUGAUUUUGUCCCCCUUGCCCCAGGGGGACCUUUGGCAAUGUCUUGAGAUGUUUUUGGUUGGCAUGACUGAGGAGGUGCUACCAGCAUCUGCUGGGCAGAGGCCAGGGAUGCUGCUCCACAUCCCACAAUGCACAGGACAGUCUUCUCUACAGCAAUGAAUUAUCCAGUUCACAAUCUCAAUAGCACCAAUAUUGAGAAACCCUGUUGAAGAUGGAGCCUAUCCACGGGGCAUUGAUCUUGGGGUCUCCCCCUUCCUGAAUACUUGAAGUCCCUCGGCAGACUCUUGGAUACCUCCAGCAAUGGGGAGCUCACCACCUGUUUUGAAGCCAGGCAGGUUUGGGCUCUUCUUGUAGCUGUGUGACUCUGGAUUUUCCCAUAGGUGGGAGAGGAUCCACCACCUUGAGCUUCAGUUUCCUCCAGUGCCAUGGGAUUAGCAGCAGCCCUGCCUUGCAGAUUGUGUGAGGAUGAAAUGAGAUGAUGCUCCUGAGUUGGCUGGUGCAGUGCACGGUACACAGAGAGUGCUCAAUAAACG